GUGUUGUAUGAAAGGAGAGAAGGUUAGCACUCCCCUUGAUAAGGAUGGAAGAGGCCCUUGUGGUCUUUGUUCCUUAAAUAUUUUAAAAUAUUUCUUUUAAAUGUUCAAAAAUUAAUACUC
rnacentral:ncRNA from 1 species